UGCAAUAUGGCAGAGUGGCCGAUCGCGCAUCCCUCAUAAGGAUGUUAUCCGCCCGGAUACACGUUGGUUCGAAUCCAACUAUUGCAA
rnacentral:tRNA from 1 species